rnacentral:rRNA from 1 species
CUAAAAAACCCCCCUUAACCAUUUUAAGACCUCAAAUCAGGUGGGACUACCCGCUGAACUUAAGCAUAUC